rnacentral:rRNA from 1 species
CAACCUGCCGAUAACUCCGGGAUAGCCUUUCGAAAGAAAGAUUAAUACCGGAUAGCAUACGAAUAUCGCAUGAUAUUUUUAUUAAAGAAUUUCGGUUAUCGAUGGGGAUGCGUUCCAUUAGUUUGUUGGCGGGGUAACGGCCCACCAAGACAACGAUGGAUAGGGGUUCUGAGAGGAAGGUCCCCCACAUUGGAACUGAGACACGGUCCAAACUCCUACGGGAGGCAGCAGUGAGGAAUAUUGGUCAAUGGGCGAGAGCCUGAACCAGCCAAGUAGCGUGAAGGAUGAAGGCUCUAUGGGUCGUAAACUUCUUUUAUAUGGGAAUAAAGUAUUCCACGUGUGGAAUUUCGUAUGUACCAUAUGAAUAAGGAUCGGCUAACUCCGUGCCAGCAGCCGCGGUAAUACGGAGGAUCCGAGCGUUAUCCGGAUUUAUUGGGUUUAAAGGGAGCGUAGGUGGAUUGUUAAGUCAGUUGUGAAAGUUUGCGGCUCAACCGUAAAAUUGCAGUUGAAACUGGCAGUCUUGAGUACAGUAGAGGUGGGCGGAAUUCGUGGUGUAGCGGUGAAAUGCUUAGAUAUCACGAAGAACUCCGAUUG